rnacentral:lncRNA from 1 species
GACUCUUAUCUUAUGGCAAAUCCACCAUUGAAGGUAUCUAACGGCUCUUCACUUGUUUGCGCUGUUCGAACUCACUACUAAAGCCAUUGGGCUUCUGGAACUCUAUCACUAACACAAGCAUUCUUCUGGAACUCUACCUUAGGAAAGGAACUACUUGCUCCUGCUGAAGAGACUUCCACUGCUGAAGAUAUAGUCUACUUUCCCUCUUAUGAUACUGAUCCAGCUCAAAACUCAUUAUGAAAUAAAGAGGAGCAUUCGGCUGAGGCUUCUAAAAUGGAUGACACUGAUUUACUUAGCACUGAAGAGGAACCUCCAUCUCGCGAAGACUUGAAAAACGAAUUGUAGUACUUGCAGCUUACCCCUGAACCGCUGAGUGGGUAUUCGAUUGGGCUUCUUUAUCUGCAAUAUAAAUGAAGUAAAGACCCCGUCCCGUCUUCUAAAUCUGACCGGCUUUUGGAAUUUGCCUAGUAGCUUGUUCUGAACUGCCUGCAACAUGGAAUCUCUCUCUUUCGACGCCAACAAAAGCACGAACACUUUGACCUCUAUCUCCACACGUAAAAGCCUGUACUCUCUUAUGCUCCAGCUUAUUUACAA